rnacentral:rRNA from 1 species
UGGGGGCAACCCUGAUCCAGCAAUGCCGCGUGUGUGAAGAAGGCCUUCGGGUUGUAAAGCACUUUCAGUGGGGAAGAAAGGCCCAAGAAUAAUACUCUUGGGAGUUGACGUUACCCACAGAAGAAGCACUGGCUAACUCUGUGCCAGCAGCCGCGGUAAUACAGAGAGUGCAAGCGUUAAUCGGAAUUACUGGGCGUAAAGCGCACGUAGGUGGAUACUUAAGUCGGAUGUGAAAGCCCUGGGCUUAACCUGGGAACUGCACCCGAUACUGGGUAUCUAGAGUAUGGUAGAGGGAAGUGGAAUUUCCGGUGUAGCGGUGAAAUGCGUAGAUAUCGGAAAGAACACCAGUGGCGAAGGCGGCUUCCUGGACCAAUACUGACACUGAGGUGCGAAAGCGUGGGGAGCAGACAGGAUUAGAGACCCUGGUAGUCCACGCCGUCAACGAUGAGAACUAGCUGUUGGGAGGUUUAUCUCUUAGUAGCGAAGCCAACGCGUUAAGUUCUCCGCCUGGGGAGUACGGUCGCAAGAUUAAAACUCAAAGGAAUUGACGGGG